rnacentral:rRNA from 1 species
AGAGUUUGAUCCUGGCUCAGGACGAACGCUGGCGGCGCGCUUAAAACAUGCAAGUCGAACGAAAAGCCCGGGCUUGCCCGGGUGGAAAGUGGCGAACGGGUGCGUAACACGUGAGCAACCUGCCCCGAAGACUGGGAUAACACCGGGAAACCGGUGCUAAUACCGGAUGCCUUCAUCAUGUCGCAUGGCGAGAUGAAGAAAUGGAUUCCGCUUCGGGAUGGGCUCGCGGCCUAUCAGCUUGUUGGUGGGGUAAUGGCCUACCAAGGCAACGACGGGUAGCUGGUCUGAGAGGAUGUCCAGCCACACUGGGACUGAGACACGGCCCAGACUCCUACGGGAGGCAGCAGUUAGGAAUCUUGCGCAAUGGGCGAAAGCCUGACGCAGCGACGCCGCGUGCGGGAUGACGGCCUUCGGGUUGUAAACCGCUUUCAGCAGGGACGAUUAUGACGGUACCUGCAGAAGAAGCCCCGGCCAACUACGUGCCAGCAGCCGCGGUA